ensembl:lncRNA
GGGUCUCAGGCUGAUGAUGAGGUGUUUCUACCAGACUCUCUGGUGGAGGUUCUGGGUUUCUUGCUCCAGGGCCCUUCAGCAGUGUCCAGUGAGUGAGGGAGAGCUCCAUGGAGGACUUGUUCACAUCAGCAGAGAGGAAAGUCUCCUGAACCCAGAUGUUUGUCCAUGAAGAGUGAUCAGUCUAUUCAUCGUCUGAUUGACUUCAAAGAUGGACGCCGUUCUUAUGACCCAGAAGAGGACCAGGAGAGCUCAGAGGUUCCCACAGGUCCGUCUGCCCAGCAGCAUCAAACACACCUGGACUCCAUCUUCAUG